AUUAGAAAAUCUCAUGUUGGAGUUUGUUUGAGGUUUAUGAUUCUGUUAACAAUAUGUUAUAACUGUUAGCAAUGUUAGUUAGAAAUUCAGCUUAGAUUGAAAUGCCAAUUAAACUUCAUUUUCUGUUGUUAUGUGAAUACAGUUAGAGUAUUAACUUCAGUUAGUUAAAAAAUAUGUUAGGAUGAUUUUUGUUAGAAUGAGUGCUUUGUUCUGUCAAAACGUUAGCUCUUGUUUACAGUUCCAAUUCGGUUAGCUAGUUAGUUUGGAUGGAAAGUUGUUACUUUGUUAGUUUCCCCAGUGUUAAAUAGUUAAAUGUGAUCACUUGCUUAAUUUGUUGUGGUAUUGGCUUGGAAUUUAAAAUUGAUUUGGAUUGAAUUGGAAGUUGAUUUAGUUUUGAAUUUGGUUUUGUUAUUUAUUGUUUCCAACUGUUUAGAUUUUGACAAGUGAAUGUGAUAGUAUUUGAUCUUGUGCAGGAUGCAAAUGAUAUUGGUAAAGGUCCAUGACAUGCUACAGACCAUGCAUUUCUAGAGUUAAUAAAAUAUAUCUUAUGUUGCCAUGCUGACGCAGGCGUGUUGCCAUAGUACUGCUUAAUGAACCUUAUUUAAGUUGUGAUUGCAUGUUUUGACCUUCACAUUGCCACCGUGGUCCAUAUUACCACCUUUAUUAGCGUCAUGUCCCGUAAAGUUGCAAGCUGCCAUGUUACAAUUGUGAUGGCAUCAAGCCAGUCAAUAAAAUCUUGAAUUCCCUAUGCCUUGGUGCAUAUGUAAACGACACGCCCGAGACAAAAGUAGGCCAUUAGGAGUUUAUCUUCCAUGGCUGCUCCUUCACAUGUAAAGGUUUUAGAUUUGGGCUUCUCGGGCUUCUUGGUUUGUUUUCUAUGUUUAGACUGGUUUAGUGUGAUGGCUUAGUGAGGACUGAUGUACCAAUUCUGUUAUGAUGUUGCACUAAGGUUGGUUGGCUAUGACAUUCAGGUGAAAUGCAAGAUUCUUGGAGGCGUACCAUGAGGAUGAUGGUGGCUGACGGCAGAUUGAUGGCCCAAAGUUCCUUCUCUCAAUUGAUCCCAUGUAAAUGCUUAUUUGCCAUGAUAUGGGAUGUAAUAGAACUUAUAUUCAAGGUUCAAUUGUAAUUCAAUUUUUUGUAUCCAUUUGGUUAAAACUCUUGGUUGUCUUGCCAAAUCAAUAUGUGAAAAAUUCUAAUAUCAUAAGAUGCAUUUCUCUUUAAA